rnacentral:rRNA from 1 species
AACGAACGCUGGCGGCAGGCUUAACACAUGCAAGUCGAACGGGCCCUUCGGGGUCAGUGGCAGACGGGUGAGUAACGCGUGGGAACGUGCCCUUCAGUUCGGAAUAACCCAGGGAAACUUGGGCUAAUACCGGAUACGCCCGAAAGGGGAAAGAUUGAUCGCUGAAGGAUCGGCCCGCGUCUGAUUAGCUAGUUGGUGAGGUAAUGGCUCACCAAGGCGACGAUCAGUAGCUGGUCUGAGAGGAUGAUCAGCCACAUUGGGACUGAGACACGGCCCAAACUCCUACGGGAGGCAGCAGUGGGGAAUAUUGGACAAUGGGCGCAAGCCUGAUCCAGCCAUGCCGCGUGAGUGAUGACGGCCUUAGGGUUGUAAAGCUCUUUCGGCGGGGACGAUAAUGACGGUACCCGCAGAAGAAGCCCCGGCUAACUUCGUGCCAGCAGCCGCCGUAGUAC